rnacentral:rRNA from 1 species
CCUACGGGUGGCUGCAGUGAGGAAUAUUGGUCAAUGGGCGUAAGCCUGAACCAGCCAAGUCGCGUGAGGGAUGAAGGUUCUAUGGAUCGUAAACCUCUUUUAUCAGGGAGUAAAGUGUGGGACGUGUCCUAUUUUGUAUGUACCUUAUGAAUAAGGAUCGGCUAACUCCGUGCCAGCAGCCGCGGUAAUACGGAGGAUCCGAGCGUUAUCCGGAUUUAUUGGGUUUAAAGGGUGCGUAGGCGGCCUUUUAAGUCAGCGGUGAAAGUCUGUGGCUCAACCACAGACUUGCCGUUGAAACUGGGGGGCUUGAGUAUGUUUGAGGCAGGCGGAAUGCGUGGUGUAGCGGUGAAAUGCGUAGAUAUCACGCAGAACCCCGAUUGCGAAGGCAGCCUGCCAGGCCAUGACUGACGCUGAUGCACGAAAGCGUGGGGAUCAAACAGGAUUAGAUACCCUAGUAGUC